CCCUUAGAUGUUCUGGGCUGCACGCGCGCUACACUGAUGCGCUCAACGAGUUUAUGACCUUGCCCGGAAGGGUUGGGUAAUCUUUUCAAAACGCAUCGUGAUGGGGAUAGAUUAUUGCAAUUAUUAAUCUUCAACGAGGAAUUCCUAGUAAGCGCGAGUCAUCAGCUCGUGCUGAUUACGUCCCUGCCCUUUGUACACACCGCCCGUCGCUCCUACCGAUUGGGUGUGCUGGUGAAAUGUUCGGAUCGGCCGUUUGUCGCGGUUUCCGCGUCAUGUGGCUGAGAAGUUCAUUAAACCCUCCCACCUAGAGGAAGGAGAAGUCGUAACA
rnacentral:rRNA from 1 species